GCGAACGCUGGCGGCAGGCCUAACACAUGCCAGUCGAACGGAUCCUUCGGGAUUAGUGGCGGACGGGUGAGUAACACGUGGGAACGUGCCCUUUGGUUCGGAACAACUCAGGGAAACUUGAGCUAAUACCGGAUGUGCCCUUCGGGGGAAAGAUUUAUCGCCAUUGGAGCGGCCCGCGUCUGAUUAGCUAGUUGGUGAGGUAACGGCCCACCAAGGCGACGAUCAGUAGCUGGUCUGAGAGGAUGAUCAGCCACACUGGGACUGGGACACGGCCCAGACUCCUACGGGAGGCAGCAGUGGGGAAUCUUGCGCAAUGGGCGGAAGCCUGACGCAGCCAUGCCGCGUGAAUGAUGAAGGUCUUAGGAUUGUAAAAUUCUUUCAGCGGGGACGAUAAUGACGGUACCCGCAGAAGAAGCUCCGGCUAACUUCGUG
rnacentral:rRNA from 1 species